rnacentral:rRNA from 1 species
GAUGAACGCUGACAGAAUGCUUAACACAUGCAAGUCAACUUGAAUUUGGGUUUUUAUCUUAGGUUUGGGUGGCGGACGGGUGAGUAACGCGUAAAGAACUUGCCUCCCAGCUAGGGACAACAUUUGGAAACGAAUGCUAAUACCUAAUAUUAUGAUAAUAGGGCAUCCUAUAAUUAUGAAAGCUAUAAGCGCUGUGAGAGAGCUUUGCGUCCCAUUAGCUAGUUGGAGAGGUAACGGCUCGCCAAGGCGAUGAUGGGUAGCCGGCCUGGGAGGGUGAUCGGCCACAAGGGGACUGAGACACGGCCCGUACUCCUACGGGAGGCAGCGGUGGGGAAUAUUGGACAAUGGAGCAAGAGUGUGAUCGAGCAGUUCUGUGUGGAAGAUGAAGUUUUUCGGAAUGUAAAGUGCUUUCAGUUGGGAAGAAAGGAAUGACGGUACCAACAGAAGAAGUGACGGCUAAAUACGUG